AGACUACCAAUUUACAUUCCUGUCACCAGCAGUGGAAAAUUCUUGCCUCAUUGCAGCCUUGUGGGCAUUGAGUAUUAUCAUUUUAAAAAUCUUUGCAAGUUUAAAGGCAAAAAAAGUAUCUUAUUGUCAUCUAAAACGCAUUUAUGUUAUUAUGAAUAGUGUUAAACAUGUUUUCUCUUUUUUGCCUUGUUAACUUUUCUGAUAACUGCUUUUUGUUAUUUGCACAUUUUUUCCUACUGUAAUUUUCUUCGUAACGGUUUGCCUGGUAGAUGUGUUACAGGGAUAUUUUCCAGUUUGUCAUUGCUUUUUAAUUUUGUAUGUGAUGAUAAUUGACAUAGAACGGUUUACAGUUUCAAAUCUACCAUUCUUUUAUUUUGAUUCCUACCAAGCUUUUAUGCCUAGAAAGGUCUUUCUCUACCUGUUCCAUUUAUCUAUUGCUGCAUAACAAAUGACCCCAAAUUUACUGCUUAAAACAAUAAUCAUUUAAUUAUAUUUAUAUUUGUAGGGCAGGGAACUGGGUAGGGUCAGCUGGUGAUUUUUCUGCUUCACUCGGUGUGGACAGAAGGCAUUCAGUGUUAAUCAGCUGACUGACUAGGAGAGUCCAAGAUGGCGUCACUCACAUGUCUGGGGCCUUGUGGGGACGGCUAGAAGCCUGGGCUCAGCAGGGACUGUCCACUGAGUGCUUCCUUGUGGCCUGUCCGGCACGGAGGCCUUGGGGUAGUUAGAAUUCUCACAUGGCAGCUCAGAGCUCCAACAGUGAGUGUUCAGCAAACAAAGCAGACGCUGUAAGCCCCUUUAUGACAGCCUGGGACGUCAGCUGCUCUGUCAGUCGGGGCAGCCUCAAGCCUUCCCAGAUUCAAGUGAGCUUCGUGGGAGAUGUAGUGUAGAAUUCGUGGCCAUAUUUUCCUAUUGCCUCUUUACCCCACGUUCCUAACUAUGGAUGGGCAUUUCCACUUCUCUUCCCUCAAAAAGGGCCACACACAGCUGAUACCAUGGGCCCUAGGAGAAGGACACCUGGCGAGGACAUCUAAUCCUGUCUGGCAGGAACAUUUGAGACUCAGGACUCCUGAAAGUUUACUUACCUCAUCCCUCCGCUUUCAGCCAACUCUUGCUGACAGGCUCUUCCAGAGAAAGUUUGCCCUGUGACCUGAGCCAGAACACACCCCAACCCUCUCUGGAGAGAAGCAGAGUCGGGGAAAGAAGAGAUUUCAUAGUGUGGACAGUGUUGGCUCUUCAGCGCCGAGGCCUCUCGAGCGUUGGUUUGCGUUUCUCACAGGCGGAGAGCACAGCAGGAAGGCCUGCUGCAGGAAGAGGAAGGACUUAAGGGGGAGGACUUCCAGGCAGGGAGGAGGUAGACAAGUCAGAGGAGGCUCCCAGAGGCUGUGUCCUUUUCUGCCUUUUGGCCUUUCUGAGAAUAGCAAGAUGGAGAUCUGAGCUUUUAGCUCCCAAGGUCCUGCCAGAUCCCAGAAAGCACAAAUCGGAGAUGGGCCAACCUAAGGGCUGUCUGCGAUGGCGGAUGAGGGAAGAUGGCCUUGCGACUUACUCACUCUGUUGGUUGCCUUUGCUGCUGACACCCAUCAGCUGCACUCUGCUUGCUCAUAGAACCCUGGUUUGGUUCAGGUCCCCGUGUGAGGACACAAUGCUGGGACUGCAGCUGCUAUCUAGACACCAUGAGGACAAACGCCUGCAAGCUGAGGAUAGUAGAGAGAGAAAAUGGAAAGAACCUGGGUCCUCGAUGACAUUUUUGAGCCACUCAUUUAAGUAACCUUGGAAUGUCUCUGCUUUGGAAGCUCUUAUUGUGAGAGAAUAAUUUGUCCCUGUUGCUCGAGGCCACCCUGUUUGGGUUUGCUGUUACAAAAGCCUGCCAACUGCUGAUGAAGCUGCCUCUUUGGCGCCCACAUUUCCCUCCGGCUUGGAGAGCGUUUGGGAGAAGGCAGCACUAAGGCAACGGUGCCCUCAGAGUGCAGUGUGAAGUAACACUACCCCGACCCCUGGGAGCGCCUGAUGAUGCCGACAGGUGGGGCGCCUGCUUCCAGGAGCAGUGUGUGGACAGAACUUGCAAAGGGCCACAGGUCCACUGCUGCAAACGUGGAAGAGAUCUAAGCAAGAGGAAGUACCUUGGGAGGAUGAGCAACCUUUCCUUCCUCCAGUCCUCAGCCUGGAAAUUCCAGGCAGGUGGCAGUGACAGAGCGGAGCACAGACCACAUUCCUACCUCAGAUAAGGGCCACAUAGGUGACUCCCGAAAGGGUUGAGCCAUCACGGCUGAGAGCUAAAGGGACCUGCCCCAGGCCAUUGCUCAACUCCAGGGACAGUGUCUCACUUGCACUGUGCCUCAUCGACCCUGGCUGGCUGCAGUUUCAGUCCCAUGAGAAAGGGAUUAUUUGGGGUAAUUUGGUGACAUUAUUUUCGGUGUCUCAGUAUUCUGGGAUUAAACACACCGUCGAUCACAGCGUGUUUGGAAGAUCACCGCCUGCUCGACACACUCUCACUGGGCUCAAUGUGGGAGACUGGACGCCCGGCCUGCGGCUGGAUGCUCGGAAGGCUCGGGGUCGGCCAGCGCGCUCAGGGCAGGGCUGCGGGCGGGAGGGGCGUUAGCAGCCCCAGGGGGCCCCCGAGUGCCCAGGGCAGGCCUGCAGCCCCUGUGAAGCAAGGAAGAGCCAUGUGGUGUAUGGUGAAAAUGGUGGAGGGAGACGGGACAAAGAAGGCGGAGGAGUGGGGCAAAGCUGAGAAGGAGGGAGAGGAAACGCCACGACAGAAGCUCCAAAGAGCACUGAGGAAAGUACUCCUGGAGAGGACCAUGAAUGCUCCCUAGAGACACAGUUUAUUCCAGCCUCAAGGCCUGCGCGCUCGCUGUUCCCUCUUCCUGAGACCCUGACCGCUGUCUCCUCUUCAGUGUUCAGACUCCAGCCUACUCUUUACCUGCCUGGGGGACGUGUCUUCAGCACUCCAACUAAAGCAGCACCCACCACCUCCUCAACCCUCCACUCUGCUUGUUAUUCUGUUUUAUGUUCUUGAUAGCACUUAUUGCUGUCGGAAUUUGUCUGCUGGAUUUAUUUAUUUCCUGUCUGUUUCAAAGAGUAGACUCAAAUAAAAGCUUUGGG
rnacentral:lncRNA from 1 species